rnacentral:rRNA from 1 species
GUCCACGCUGUAAACGAUGAGAACUAGAUGUUGGGAGGUUUGCCUCUCAGUGUCGCAGCUAACGCGCUAAGUUCUCCGCCUGGGAGUACGGCCGCAAGGUUGAACUCAAAGGAAUUGACGGGACCCGCACAAGCGGUGGAGCAUGUGGUUAAUUCGAUGCAACGCGAAGAACCUUACCUGGUCUUGACAUCCCAGGAACCUCGCAGAGAUGUGGGGGUGCCUUCGGGAACCUGGAGACAGGUGCUGCAUGGCUGUCGU